UAUUCUCGCCAUGGGUUGCACUGGAAGUGGUAGAUUGGAAUUAACUCACUAGAAUUCCAAUAACGUUUCAUGGGAUUAAAAACACAAACUUCCUGGGCCCUGAUGAGGACUAGAAAGGGCUCCCUAUACACCCCCAUUCACAAAAAUGACUGUAAGUAUUGGGUGGUCUGAUUACAUGGUGCAUUCUGUUUCUAUUUAGCAGUAAUUCCUGGGCUGCACACACUCCUUUUAAAUUAUGGAAUGUAAUUAUCCUUUCCUCCAGCCUCUCUGCUUUUCAUCUACCCUUACUAUUGUCUUUGCUGUGGCUUCUUAGGAGUUUCUCUGAUGGGGCCUUAAUCCAGUAACAAACUGCAAUGGAACUCAGCCAUAAAAGCUGGAUAGCAAAACAGAUAAGAUCACUAUUUCAGAUAUUGCUGUAAUCAAAAGGAAUUUCUGCAUAUUUCUGGAAACAUGAAGGCUCCCUUCCAGUUCAUUGAGGCCAUAUGUUGAGUUCCAGCCACUAGAAUAUGAGCAGAAGCGAUUCUUGCCACUUGCAGUUUGUGCCCAAAGAGGGUAUGCUGGUGAUUCUACAUUGAAGCAGUCUUACCUUGACAUCCCCAAACAUUUCUGGUAGAUUAUGUGUUUUGGGGCCUAAAUCCAAGUGAUACUGCACAGAGUCAGACAAGCAGAAGCCACUCCACAGGUGGUAAAGGAGAGACAGACAUAAAAAAAAAAGAACAUAAUCCAUCUUAAAAAUAUACCCUAAGAAUGAGUCCCAACUCAUUCUUCCUGCUGCUGGAUGGGGACCUGGAGAAACUGCAAGCCACUUCUUGGAGGCGACAAAACAACAAGAUGGAAGGAGCUGGAUUCCAGAGCCCAGUUUGAGGAAAGCCAUCCAUCAACUAGGAACGGCUACUCUCUAUUUAACGGGAGCAAGAAGUAAACGUACAUCAUGCUAAGUCUCUGAGAUUUGCAGUGGCGGGUGGUAAUGUGAAGAUAUGAAGGAAAUAAGGGUGAUUGUCAGAGUCUUUCAGGUUUAAACUUUACAUGUCCAGAAUUCUCCUUCCUUUUGAAAAUAAUGUUGAUAAUAAUCAUCAUCAUUUCUGUGAAGACAAGGCUGAGGUUUCAGGUACAAUAGAUUAUGUACCCAGCCAUUGCUGUCCUGAGAUUUAAGGGAGUAAUAAAUUGAACCUAGAAUGUUCUCAUUUAAAGAGAAGAAUGUGGCCAAAGGAAGACUAGGUCCUGAUAAAAACAUCUGUGGAAAUAAAUAAAAUUUUACCUGCUGCCUCCAUAACAUUCUGGUUUAGAUUAGACAACCAGUUCUGACCAUUUGAAAUCAUGUCAUCUGCUCAUCACUCUAAACACACACACACACACACACACACACACACACAUGCACACACUUUUGUCUCCUAUCAAUAUAAUCCAAUCAGUAGAGUUGCUCUUUGGAGGGCUAAAACAGAUUGUAAACAGAACGUUCUUUUACACAAAAUGAAUCUGCUGAAGUUCCACAUCAGAUGGGUGGAGAGCUUGUAAGUCUGGAGAGUAGUUCUGACAGAGUGUGAAAAUAAGUGCAGAUGAAAAUCCAGUCAGGCAGAGAAACAGAGAAUAAAGGCCUUGGUCCUGGGAUUGUAACUGAGGUGAGGGGUGUGUGUGUGUGACUAUUUUCAUCUCUAAAGCAAGCCCAUUGAUUUGUCAGAAAUUGACAAAGUACCAAAAUGUAGUGGUUUUUUUUUUUUUUUAAUGUUGGAAGCACCAUUACUUUUUUCAAUCAGAGAAACCUAAGAUUUAGUCCCAACUCAUUCACUUACCAGCUGUGUUGUGCUUAUUAUUAACAGAUAAAUAAUGAUUUUGUAUACUGCUAUGUAUUUGUUUGAACCCCAGUUUCCUUAUGUAGAAAGAGGAGAUAACAGCUCUGUAGAAACUGUGGAGACUGAAUGGUAUACAUUUGCGGAUACUGCACAGAGUCAGAGAAGCAGAAGCCACUCCACAGGUGGUAGAGGAGAGACAGACGUUAAAAAAAAAAGAACAUAAUCCAUCUUAAAAAUAUACCCUAAGUCUCUCUAACUUAUGAGCUACAUGCAUAAUUGAGUUUUUAGGUUAUGCUGAGCAUUUUAUUCAUCAAGAUAAUCCCUAGAUUACCAUGGGAAAACAGCUAUGAGGCAACUUGAUCAACGACUCUUGGAGCAUAAGCAUCAGAAACAGUGUAGGGAGAAGGUAGAGCAGAAGACAGUGGAGGCUACAUGAAGGCAAGGAGCAGUAGUCUGGCGGGCGAUGGAGAAAGGGCCAGGCGUCUGCUGUCAGGAUUCUUCCCGCAGCCCUGCUCAC